UACAGAGGAUGCAAGCGUUAUCCGGAAUGAUUGGGCGUAAAGCGUCUGUAGGUGGCUUUUUAAGUCCGCCGUCAAAUCCCAGGGCUCAACUCUGGACAGGCGGUGGAAACUACCAAGCUGGAGUACGGUAGGGGCAGAGGGAAUUCCGGUGGAGCGGGUGAAAUGCGUAGAGAUCGGGAGGAACACCGGUGGCGAAGGCGGGUCUCUGGGCAUCUUCUGACGCUGAGGCGCGAAAGCGUGGGAGCAACAGG
rnacentral:rRNA from 1 species